GCCUGAGCGCGGGGGACGGGUGCGUCCGUUUCUGAUAUCGUGGAUGAACUGAGCGCCGGCGUGGUGGUGGACUGGGGCACUGCGCCAAGUGCGAGGAGCGCCUUGGAAGAAGCACACCAUGAUGGGUUCACCACGACACCAUUUCUCCAUGCUCCAGUAGAAGUUUGGACUCAUGGCGGAGCUGUGCGGCUAGAUGAUUGGAUCUGAUUGAUGCAGUUGAGUCCAGGUAUUGCAUCCCAUUGCUGAUUCUAUCACUAUCAACAAAACGAUCUGGAUCCGGUGCUUUUUGUGACACGUCAUGCUUGCAGUGAGAAUGAGCGAGGUAGCACAUGUUUUAUAUCAGUUCAUACAGCACAGUGCAAUGUAUUUUCUAGAUAUGCAUAAAUAAGGUGUCACCCAUAGUGUUAGCAUGGGCAAGCUACUAUCAACAUAUAAUAACUACAUGUUACAUCUUUUGUGUGAAACAUAUAUUUUUCAUUUUGAACUA